rnacentral:rRNA from 1 species
GACGAACGCUGGCGGCGUGCUUAACACAUGCAAGUCGAACGAUGAUCAGGAGCUUGCUCCUGUGAUUAGUGGCGAACGGGUGAGUAACACGUGAGUAACCUGCCCCUGACUCUGGGAUAAGCGUUGGAAACGACGUCUAAUACUGGAUACGACUGCCGGCCGCAUGGUCUGGUGGGGGAAAGAUUUUUUGGUUGGGGAUGGACUCGCGGCCUAUCAGCUUGUUGGUGAGGUAAUGGCUCACCAAGGCGACGACGGGUAGCCGGCCUGAGAGGGUGACCGGCCACACUGGGACUGAGACACGGCCAAGACUCCUACGGGAGGCAGCAGUGGGGAAUAUUGCACAAUGGGCGAAAGCCUGAUGCAGCAGCGCCGCGUGAGGGAUGACGGCCUUCGGGUUGUAAACCUCUUUUAGUAGGGAAGAAGCGAAAGUGACGGUACCUGCAGAAAAAGCACCGGCUAACUACGUGCCAGCAGCCGCGGUAA